rnacentral:rRNA from 1 species
GAUGAACGCUGGCGGCGUGCCUAAUACAUGCAAGUCGAGCGAACAGACGAGGACUUUGCUCGUCAGACGUUAGCCGCGCGCGGGUGAGAAACACGUGGAUACCCCACUUAUCUUACUGAGAUAACUGCGGGACUCCGGAGCUUAUACCGGAGGAUAAUUUGAACCGUAUGGUUCAAUAGUGAAAGACGGUUUUGCUGUAACUUAUAGAUGGAUCCGCGCCGCAUUAGCUAGUUGGUAAGGUAACGGCUUACCAAGGCCCCGAUGCGUAGCCGACCGGAGAGACUGAUCGCCCACAUGGGAACUGAGACAGGGUCCAUAGUCCUACGGGAGGGAGCAGUAGGGAACGGGCGGCAAUGGGCGAAAGCAUGACGGAGCGACGCCGCGUGAGUGAUGGAGGUCUUCGGAGCGUAAAGCUCUCUUAUUGGGGAAGAACAACUGUGUCAGUAACUAUGCACGUCUUGACGGUACCUAAUGAGAAAGCCACGGCUAACUACGUG